rnacentral:rRNA from 1 species
UACGAAGGGGGCUAGCGUUGCUCGGAAUCACUGGGCGUAAAGGGUGCGUAGGCGGGUCUUUAAGUCAGGGGUGAAAUCCUGGAGCUCAACUCCAGAACUGCCUUUGAUACUGAGGAUCUUGAGUUCGGGAGAGGUGAGUGGAACUGCGAGUGUAGAGGUGAAAUUCGUAGAUAUUCGCAAGAACACCAGUGGCGAAGGCGGCUCACUGGCCCGAUACUGACGCUGAGGCACGAAAGCGUGGGAAGCAAACAGG